rnacentral:rRNA from 1 species
CCUACGGGGAGCAGCAGUGGGGAAUAUUGCACAAUGGGGGAAACCCUGAUGCAGCGACGCCGCGUGAAGGAAGAAGUAUUUCGGUAUGUAAACUUCUUUCAGCAGGGAAGAAAAUGACGGUACCUGACUAAGAAGCACCGGCUAACUCCGUGCCAGCAGCCGCGGUAAUACGUAGGGGGCAAGCGUUAUCCGGAUUUACUGGGUGUAAAGGGAGCGUAGGCGGUUUAGCAAGUCAGAGGUGAAAGCCCGUGGCUCAACACCGGGACUGCUUUUGAAACUGUUGAACUAGAGUGCAGGAGAGGUAAGUGGAAUUCCUGGGGUAGCGGUGAAAUGAGUAGAGAUUAGGAGGAACACCAGUGGCGAAGGCGGCUUACUGGACUAUAAAUGACGCUGAGGCGCGAAAGCGUGGGGAGCAAACAGGAUUAGAUACCCGAGUAGUC